rfam:Populus trichocarpa scaffold_3_contig_249, whole genome shotgun sequence.
AGGGAUGUAGCAUGUUUGUUUUAGGUGCAAAAUGUCACGGGUUCAAAUCAUGUCAUCCCUA